rnacentral:rRNA from 1 species
CCCUUAGAUGUCCUGGGCCGCACGCGCGCUACACUGACAUGUUCAACAAGCCUCCUAGUUCGACAGGAUUUGGGAAAUCUUUGAACGCAUGUCGUGAUAGGGAUAGAUCAUUGCCAUUAUUGAUCUUGAACGAGGAAUUCCUAGUAAACGCGAGUCAUCAGCUCGCAUUGAUUACGUCCCUGCCCUUUGUACACACCGCCCGUCGCACCUACCGAUUGAAUGUUUCGGUGAAGAUUCCGGAUAGGACUUUUUUGAUUUAUUUCAAUUUUGUCUUAAAAGCUAUCUAAACCUCAACAUUUAGAGGAAGGUGAAGUCGUAACA